CCUACGAGUGGCAGCAGUGAGGAAUAUUGGUCAAUGGGCGCGAGCCUGAACCAGCCAAGUAGCGUGCAGGAUGACUGCCCUACGGGUUGUAAACUUCUUUUAUAAAGGAAUAAAGUGAGGCACGUGUGCCUUUUUGUAUGUACUUUAUGAAUAAGGAUCGGCUAACUCCGUGCCAGCAGCCGCGGUAAUACGGAGGAUCCGAGCGUUAUCCGGAUUUAUUGGGUUUAAAGGGAGCGUAGAUGGGUUGUUAAGUCAGUUGUGAAAGUUUGCUGCUCAACCGUAAAAUUGCAAUUGAUACUGGCAGUCUUGAGUACAGUUGAGGUAGGCGGAAUUCGUGGUGUAGCGGUGAAAUGCUUAGAUAGCACGAAGAACUCCGAUUGCGAAGGCAGCUUACUAAACUGCCACUGACAUUGAUGCUCGAAAGUGUGGGUAUCAAACAGGAUUAGAUACCCCUGUAGUC
rnacentral:rRNA from 1 species